GGCUCAGAUUGAACGCUGGCGGCAUGCCUUACACAUGCAAGUCGAACGGCAGCACGGGAGCAAUCCUGGGUGGCGAGUGGCGAACGGGUGAGUAAUAUAUCGGAACGUGCCCAGUCGUGGGGGAUAACGUAGCGAAAGUUACGCUAAUACCGCAUACGAUCUACGGAUGAAAGCGGGGGGACUCGCAAGAGCCUCGCGCGAUUGGAGCGGCCGAUAUCAGAUUAGGUAGUUGGUGGGGUAAAGGCUCACCAAGCCAACGAUCUGUAGCUGGUCUGAGAGGACGACCAGCCACACUGGAACUGAGACACGGUCCAGACUCCUACGGGAGGCAGCAGUGGGGAAUUUUGGACAAUGGACGCAAGUCUGAUCCAGCCAUUCCGCGUGCAGGAUGAAGGCCCUCGGGUUGUAAACUGCUUUUGUACGGAACGAAAAGGUUUCUAUUAAUACUAGGAGCUCAUGACGGUACCGUAAGAAUAAGCACCGGCUAACUACGUG
rnacentral:rRNA from 1 species